UACGUAGGUGACAAGCGUUGUCCGGAUUUACUGGGCGUAAAGAGCGCGCAGGCGGUCGUUCAAGUCGAGUGUGAAAGCCCCCGGCUCAACUGGGGAGGGUCAUUCGAUACUGAUCGACUCGAAGGCAGGAGAGGGAAGUGGAAUUCCCGGUGUAGUGGUGAAGUGCGUAGAUAUCGGGAGGAACACCAGUGGCGAAGGCGACUUCCUGGCCUGUUCUUGACGCUGAGGCGCGAAAGCUAGGGGAGCAAACGGG
rnacentral:rRNA from 1 species